rnacentral:rRNA from 1 species
UGAAGGCUGAGCUGUGAUGGGGAAGCUCCUUAUGGAGCGAAGUCUUUGAUUCCCCGCUGCCAAGAAAAGCUUCUAGCGAGAUAAAAGGUGCCUGUACCGCAAACCGACACAGGUAGGCGAGGAGAGAAUCCUAAGGUGUGCGAGAGAACUCUGGUUAAGGAACUCGGCAAAAUGACCCCGUAACUUCGGGAGAAGGGGUGCUUUCUUAACGGAAAGCCGCAGUGAAUAGGCCCAAGCGACUGUUUAGCAAAAACACAGGUCUCUGCGAAGCCGUAAGGCGAAGUAUAGGGGCUGACACCUGCCCGGUGCUGGAAGGUUAAGGAGAGGGGUUAGCGUAAGCGAAGCUCUGAACUGAAGCCCCAGUAAACGGCGGCCGUAACUAUAACGGUCCUAAGGUAGCGAAAUUCCUUGUCGGGUAAGUUCCGACCCGCACGAAAGGUGUAACGAUUUGGGCACUGUCUCAACCAGAGACUCGGUGAAAUUAUAGUACCUGUGAAGAUGCAGGUUACCCGCGACAGGACGGAAAGACCCCGUGGAGCUUUACUGUAGCCUGAUAUUGAAUUUUGGUACAGUUUGUACAGGAUAGGCGGGAGCCAUUGAAACCGGAGCGCUAGCUUCGGUGGAGGCGCUGGUGGGAUACCGCCCUGACUGUAUUGAAAUUCUAACCUACGGGUCUUAUCGACCCGGGAGACAGUGUCAGGUGGGCAGUUUGACUGGGGCGGUCGCCUCCUAAAGUGUAACGGAGGCGCCCAAAGGUUCCCUCAGAAUGGUUGGAAAUCAUUCGUAGAGUGCAAAGGCAUAAGGGAGCUUGACUGCGAGACCUACAAGUCGAGCAGGGACGAAAGUCGGGCUUAGUGAUCCGGUGGUUCCGCAUGGAAGGGCCAUCGCUCAACGGAUAAAAGCUACCCCGGGGAUAACAGGCUUAUCUCCCCCAAGAGUCCACAUCGACGGGGAGGUUUGGCACCUCGAUGUCGGCUCAUCGCAUCCUGGGGCUGUAGUCGGUCCCAAGGGUUGGGCUGUUCGCCCAUUAAAGCGGUACGCGAGCUGGGUUCAGAACGUCGUGAGACAGUUCGGUCCCUAUCCGUCGUGGGCGUAGGAAAUUUGAGAGGAGCUGUCCUUAGUACGAGAGGACCGGGAUGGACGCACCGCUGGUGUACCAGUUGUUCUGCCAAGGGCAUAGCUGGGUAGCUAUGUGCGGAAGGGAUAAGUGCUGAAAGCAUCUAAGCAUGAAGCCCCCCUCAAGAUGAGAUUUCCCAUAGCGUAAGCUAGUAAGAUCCCUGAAAGAUGAUCAGGUUGAUAGGUUCGAGGUGGAAGCAUGGUGACAUGUGGAGCUGACGAAUACUAAUAGAUCGAGGACUUAACCAUAUAA